GUUGGGUGGAUGUUUUGUUCCUUGGUUUCUGUUGUCCUCUUUGCUUCUCAGGAGGGUGUGGUGGCUGUGUGUUGCCUGGUAGGAAAUUCUUUUGAGCUCCUGCUAGGUGUGGCCACUGAGUUUCCAGGUAAAAGGUCUCUAAGCACUGGGAGGUGACACUUAGGAAUAAGGCUGGGCUGGACUGAGGGCAGGGGCAGGAGGAAGGAGGAAGGAGGAAAGCAUGGCGUUCCUUCAGGAUCUGCGUAGUCACCUGGGAAUGGGGCAGAGAGCGUAACCAGCUGCUUCAGGCUCCUGCCUUGACUUCCCUGAAGUGAUAGACUGCAACCUGGGAUUGUGAGCUAAGUAAACCCUUCUCUUAGUAAGGAGACUCUUGUCAUGAGCCUGUUCCUGACUCUCCACCAGGCAUGGAGUUAGCCUGAUCCCUGAUCCCCGAUCCCCGGCUUUUGCUGCAUUUCCGACAUACAGCGUGCACUGAGCUGAUGACAUAUCUGAUGUGGUUCAAGGCUCCCGAGAGAGCUAAAAGGUACCUGAGUCUGAGGAGCCCUCAAUGGGGAAUAGCAAGCCAGACAGCUUGCUAAUGGACAGACAGAAUGAGACACCUGGCUGGCCCUUCAAAUGGGCAGAAGUUUCUUACCUUCCCAUACUUAAUGCCAGGAUUAGAAUCCAGGCCCAGAGACCAGCCCACCUCUGUCCAAUGGGACCCAAUCUCUCGGCAGCAAUUCUGGCUCUCGGUUUUUAAUCUUAGAUUCCAGUUUUCUUUGUUCCUUAAUUUUCCCUGUGGGAUGUUUUUUUUUUUUUUCCCAUAGAGCUUUGUGUGGUUCUGUUAUGGAGCAUAGAAGGAGGGCUGAUUUCUCUGUUGGGAGGUGAGGGGAGCACUCUGUCACUCUGAUGGAAUGGAUUGGAAGUGGGUGGAUGCUGGCCAACCUGUGUCCUGCUAAGAUGCAGCCUAGGGGAAUGUCCGUCCCUCACCCCCAGCUGCCUUCGCUCUGCUGGCUGCUGGUCACGUGUCCCUGUUUACCUGCACAGGCAGUCAUUAUUCACCCCUUCCCACGUACCCCCACACUUGCACACAAAGCCAGAGAGUGGCUUACAUUUUCUUUUCUUUCUUUCUUUUAUUUUUUUUUAUUUUUAUUUUUUUUUUUUAAAAGAACCUUCCCCAAACCCAUUCUAAAAUGUCAAGUGUUUCAGUUUGAGGAAAAAAAAAGCUGAAAAAACCGUGACUCAUGACAAGGCUGACAAACAGCUCUGAGGGUAUGCUGGUGAGUCACUCUGAGACUGUAGCGGCGAGGGCCAGCGGUGGGGAGAUUGUCAGGAGACCAGCCAGUAAAAUUCCACAACUCUCCCGAGCAGAGUAGGAGGUAAUUCAAAAACCCUGGGAUUUUUCCAGCUCUCAUUUCAUGUAGGACUCAGGCUGCUCUUAGAUAUGUUGAUCUCCUCAGGAAAUCAUCAAGAAUGAUUACCAAAAAUAUAAAACAAAAAAAAAAACCAAAAAACAAAAAAAACCCCAAAACCCACCCCCACGUUAUUAUCUUUCUGUGCCCAGUGCCAUGUUGAACCAGCCCUGUUUGCCACUGCGCACUAGCGAGGCUGCUGGGUUGUCUGGAAGGGUCUUGGGUUGCUAGGCAACAGCACUGGCAGCAUCCAUCAUGCCCAGUAAUAUCAGUGUGGCCAGCAGAGCACAUUGGUCCCCCACCCCCACCCUCUCCCCCAGCCUCCCCACCCCUUGUGAAAAUGUUAAUUUGCAUCUUGGGGACAGGAGCUGUGCCAGGUGAUCUUGUGUAUAAAAUAAUUCAGUGCAGGGUACAAAGUGCAAAUACUGUUUCUAGUCGCAAGACAGAAUGUGUGACGUCGUCGUCGUCGCAGAUACAGACCUGUUUGUGAACGUACUUUAUAUUAGCCGUGUGUGUAGGUGUGAUGUAAAAGCCAUUGUGUCAAAUGCAUCCUCAUGUCUUCUGCCGUUCAAUCAUUUUUCCUGUCUGCCCACACACAUCUUAUUUACGCCUUGCUCUCUCUCUCUCUCUCUCUCUCUCUCUCUCUCUCUCUCCUCCCUCUGUCCCUUCCCCCUUUCUCUUUGUGCUGUGGUCUCCUGGUGAUGGAGUUAUUGUUUGUAUGUCGGGAUGUGUAGACAGGAGGAAGUGUAUUUCUAGAGGUGAGAGGGCCCCAUGGUUAUGGUUGGAGGCCUCUCUUUACAAGGCUUUUCAAUGUGGCAAUUGUGUUCCAGAAAUGCUUCUUUUGGGGGUGGGUCUCCAUCAGGCCAAGGUCUGUCUGUGCCUUUUAUUUACUGUCAAUAGGCAGCAGUCACAGGGAACUGGUAAAGGGCCAGAGGGAGCAAUGUGGCAGGUGGGAAGGAGACCCAAAUCUUUUCUCCUUCCCAGUCCACGCUGGCAUUUCUACAAGUUACUGCAUUCUGUGACUUUCCUGGGAAGACACAAACAAAUGUCUAUUCACCGCCGCAGAUAGGGCACUGGCCCACUAAAGUCCAGCGUGGCGAACCAGUGGGUUUAUUAGGCUUCUUUGUAGGGGCAUGGGAGCUCAAAGACAGCUGCAGCUCCUGGGUGGGUGAAGUCUCCUCUUCUCAGGUGUGUCAAGGUGUCAGCGAAGAUCAGCCAUCAUGGGUAUUUAAGUUCUCAGCUAGCCCAGGAGGUCUAAGCCUUCAUUUCCCCCAGAGGAGAAGCAGGGCAUCUUCCAUACUGGUACGCAGAGUCUACACGAGUGGUCCUGGGAAGAGGGCUGGGUUACAAGCUUUUCUUCAGACUCCUGGCCCUGUGGCCUUUCUUGCUGGUUCAUUAUGAGAUCUGUUGUCCUCCCUCCCCACCUUCUCUCCCUCCCUCCAUCCAUCUCUUUCUUUGUUGUAAGGAAAGGUUUUUGUUUCAAUUCAAUUUUGGCUUACAGUUCCACAGGCACAGAAUUCAUCAUGGUGGAAGGCAUGGGAACCUGGAAGCAGAGGGUACAUUUCAUUUCUACAAAGGAAGCAGAGAAGUGGGGGAGGGGAGGAACUUGCCUUCCUUAAGAUUAUCUCUUGAUACUUCGUUCUUCAGUGGACUGAGGUCUCUCCUGGAGUAGCCGAUAAGGUUGGCAGAAGCUUUGGGUAGGACUUUGUUGGCGUUUGAGCCAUGGCCUGGGCAAGCUGAGCGAUGGGUCUCUGGAGCUCAGGAGGUUUGGGUUGGCCUCUGACAUCUCUCUUCAUCACCACGGCACUGCGCUGCUGUUCAGGGAGAGCUACAUCUAAUUCCCAGCUGAGACUGAGCUGUCAAACAGGAAGUCAAACAAUGCCUUUUUUGAAGGACUGGUUCUUAUUCUGAGGUUGAAACCACAAUCGCUGGAGAUGGUUGAUGUCAGCACCAUCUUCUGGUUGACUAGCGGAAGACGCCUCCCAUGAAAGGAAAGCGACUGUGUCUCUGGGCUGGUGUUUCCAGUGAAGGGGCAGCAGAAUGGACAGCUUUGCCUUCGAGUCUUAGACCACUUCCUACUGCUAUGAUGACUAAGUACUUGAGGCUGGGGAAUCAUAAACAUGGACCCAGGGAAGGUCAGAACCAGGUGGCUGCACCUGUUAGCAUCUGGUGAAGCAGUAUACCAUGCAGCUGAGGUCACAUAGUGGGGGGGGGGUGGUGGUGGUGUGCAGUAAUGAACACGGAUAAAGGGGACAGAGGGGCUGGCCACUUUCUAACAACCCAUUCCAGAGAACAAAUCCAUUCCUUCGAAGAUUACUAGUCUUGCCCAGAUGUGAUACACAUCUGUCAUCCCAAAUGAAGGCAGUUUAGUAGAUCAAGCCCAGCCUGGGUUACUCAAGACUUUGCCUCAAUAUGAUUUUGUCCUUGUGUUUCCUAUUUACUUUGUAUUUUCUAUUCAUUAACAUUAACCUCACAGCUAACCACACUAACAGGCAUUUUCUUCCUGAGGCAUGUCUUUCAGGACUUAGACGCUCAUGAUACUAGAUAGCCCUUCAGCAUGAUACACCGAAAUCACCAACAAAAAAGAAAAAGGCAGGCCAGGGGUAUAGCUUAAGAUAGAGGGCUUCCUUAAUGUGUUCUUGAAAUUCGGUUCCACUCAUAGCAACACAUGCACCGCCCUCCCCUCCCCCCCCCAAGACACACACACAUACAUACCACACAGGCAUACAGAUAAGAGAGUAUUUCUCUGUUUGACCUCAGCUGGAAAAUGUUUGUUGGUAAUUCUUUUAUCCUCCCAGGUGCACACAUGUCCACACCCGACCAAGAAAACACCCUGAAUAUUGAUUUGGGGGAUUAUCAGUGACCUUCAGUAAGCAGGAAAAUUCAGGUAUUCAGAAUUGGUGUGGUGAGGAUUACCUGGAUGUUAAGUGUCCAUUUGCUAAAUGCUCAGGGAACGGCUGCAAGAGAAGUCAAACAUAUGUGCUGUUUGCUGUCAGAUUGCCCAGAGACCAGGCCAGGGCCGGAAAACAAACCAACAACUUGCUCUGCAAACAAAUAAAUUCAUCAUUACAAACUGUGGCCAGGGCCCUAAGGGUACUGAGGAGGUUCAGUGUUGAGAGUGGUAGAUGCCUGGGUGGUUGGGAGUGAGCUCUGUGAAACAUAAGGGUUGGGAGAAGCUAGCUGUGACAAGAGGAGCAGGGGAAGUCACAGGGUCUGCAUUAGCCAUGGCCCUGUGAUAGGAACGCCUGGCAUGCUUUCCAUUCUCACUCCACGGACUCGGAUCUUCCUCGUUACUACAAACACUGUUCCAGCCGAGUGACUUUCUCAGACAUCUGCUCAGCUUGCGCCUGUCUCUUUCCAGAUGUCAAUCAAGUUUCCCCCAUCAUCCUAAUUAAAAUACAACCCCCCACA